ACUUCACAUAAAGAACAUCUUAUACCCAGUUAAUAGAUAGAAGAGGAAUAAGUAAUAGGUCAAGACCACGCAGCUGAAGAUAACACUCUGAAGGGAAACCCACCCAUAACCUAAGCAAGUGAAGACAGGUGCUGCAGGUGGAAUUGUGUCCUUCAAAAAGGUAUGCUCAACUCCUUGCUCUUGGUACUCAUAAAUGGGUCACAUAAAUGUGACUUUAUUUGGAAAUAGGGUCUUUGCAGAGGUAAUCAAGUCAAAAUUAGGUCAUACUGAAAUGUUUGUGAGGAUGCGGUGAAAAUGGAUCAUUCAUAUAUUGCUGGUGGGAAUAUAAAAGGGUAUAGCUACUCUAGAAAAUAGUUGUCAGUUUCUUGAAAAACUAAACAAAAGACACCUACCAUAUGACCCAGGAAUUGUACUCCUUGGGAAUUUACCCCCAGGAAAUAAAAACUUAUGUCCACACAGAACCCAUACAUGAUUGUUCACAGCAGCUUUAUUUGUUGUAGCCAAAGCUAGAAAGAGCCAACCCAUCCCUCAAUAGGCAACUAGCCUAACAAAUUGUAAUAUAUCCAUGCCAUAGAAUGCUAUGAGGCAAUAAAAAGGAACGAAGUGUUGAUACAGAGAACUGGAGUGAUUCUGAAGGACUUUCUACUGAGUGAAAAAAGCCAAUCUGAAAGGGUCACAUACCAUGUGAUUCCUUUUAUGUAACAUUGUUGAAGUGACAAAAUUAUAGGGAUAGAGAACAGAUUCUGGUUGCCAGGGGUUAGGGUGGUGGGGAAAGAAGAGUAGGCGAAACUAUAAAGGGAGAUCUUUGUGAUCAUGGGAUAAAUCUGUAUCUUGAUUGCAGUGGUAGUUGCAGGCAUCUAGACAUGUGAUAAAAUGACAUAGAACUGUACACACUUAUUUUAUCAAUGUCAAAUUCUUGGUUUUAAUAUCGUACUGUAAUUACGUAAGAAGUAACCAACAGGAGAAACUGGGUGCAGGACACAUCAGACCUCUGUGCUUUAUAUCCUGUCUUUGCUACUUUCUGUGAAUCUAUAAUUAUUUCCAAAUAAUUUUUUUAAACUUUUUUUUUAUGCUGGAUCCGAGUGGGCCCUAAAUCCAAUGACUGGUGUCCUUAUAAGAAGAAGGAGAUUGGAGAUGCAGUGACACAUAGGAAGAAAGCCACAUGACCAAGGAGGCAGAGACCAGAGGGAUGCAGCUGAGAGCCAAAGAGCACCAAGGAUUGCUGGGAGCCACCAGAAGCUGGAGAGGUGUGGGAUGGUUUCUCCCCGAGAACCUGCAGAAGACACUAACUCUGCCUGUGCCUUGAAUUCAGAUUUCUGUCUCCAGACCUAUGACAGAAUAAACUUCUGUUGUUUUACGGCUCUUAGUUUGUGGUACUUUGUUAGGGCAGACCCAAGAAACUACUACAAUGGGGAUGGCCGAGAAGACAGCGUACCUCUGAAGGAACUCCCUUCUACACUAAUGAGCCAUACCCCAGCAAGGGUUCACCUCCCCAGGUGGCUGGCAAAAUCCACUCACAGAAAUCGGGCUCCACAGGUCUGAGAGUUACUCAAAUCCAGAAAGUUCAGGUCAGCAUGAGUUAAAAGCCAAGCAGACAAGAGAUCUAGCCUGCUUCUCCUGAGACGUGGUAUGCUUUUGGCUCUGAAAAUGAACCUUGGCAUGAGAAUGCCCUUACUCUGACAUGUACAGGCUGUGUGGCCCUGAGCACAUUUCUUAAUCGGUGUGGGCCUCCCUUUCUCACCUGUAAGGUGCAGAUCUGAUGGUAAUGCCUGAUAGGUAAAGAAUUGUGAAGAUUAAAAGAAAUAGCAUGAGUAAAAAGCUUAGCACACUGUGGGUUGCAUGGCUCCAAAGCUCCCUGGGUCCCAUGGUAGAUCUAGGGCAGAAGUGAGGCAAGAGAAAGAAAAGGAAAAGAGAAGAAAUCAAAGAGGGAGGGAAAAAGAGAAGGGAGGAGAGAAAAAAAAAAGUGAGAAAAAUGUGUCUGCCAAGGAAAACCAGGAAGGCCAUCCCAUGAUAUGCCCCACCUGUGGUAGGAUGGGUAUCCUUUCUCCAGGUCAGAGACAGCAGCUUGGCAUACUGCGUGGCUCACCAAGCAUGAAACAGCAGUCAUUCUGAGAGAGAAGAGGCAGGCCCACACCCAUGGCACAGAGCCAGACAUCAACUGUGGG
rnacentral:lncRNA from 10 species